ACUUGGGCGACUCCGCAUGGCUGGCUCGGGCCCCGGAUGAGGAAGUGCGGGAGGACCAUAGAGACGGAGAGGCGGUAGUGGCCGGAGCGCCCACGGGCUUUUGGCUCCGUAGGCGCAGGUAGAGUUGGCGGCGAUUGGGCUGCGUCUGCAGAGACCAAGCUGGAGGGGCAAGCGCAGGCCGCGGAGCAGGUCUCAGGAAGAGGCCCCUUCUCCUUCCCUCAUGGAGGGAUUGGCUACAAUGUCUGAAUCUUUGGAAAAGAAAGCCCCCUUCUCAAGGUGAAAGGAGUGUUGGGAACUUCUGAGGGCCUGAUCAUUAUUGGUGAAACAUUUGAUGUAAAAGACUUGACUCCAUAAUCUACAUCUGCCCUAAUGCUGUCAUCUGGAGUAGAGACUCGGCCA
rnacentral:lncRNA from 1 species